CGAGUCUGAUGGAGCACGCCGCGUGAGUGAAGAAGGGUUUCGGCUCGUAAAACUCUGUUGUUAAAGAAGAACAUAUCUGAGAGUAACUGUUCAGGUAUUGACGGUAUUUAACCAGAAAGCCACGGCUAACUACGUGCCAGCAGCCGCGGUAAUACGUAGGUGGCAAGCGUUGUCCGGAUUUAUUGGGCGUAAAGCGAGCGCAGGCGGUUUUUUAAGUCUGAUGUGAAAGCCUUCGGCUCAACCGAAGAAGUGCAUCGGAAACUGGGAAACUUGAGUGCAGAAGAGGACAGUGGAACUCCAUGUGUAGCGGUGAAAUGCGUAGAUAUAUGGAAGAACACCAGUGGCGAAGGCGGCUGUCUGGUCUGUAACUGACGCUGAGGCUCGAAAGUAUGGGUAGCAAACAGGAUUAGAUACCCUGGUAGUCCAUACCGUAAACGAUGAAUGCUAAGUGUUGGAGGGUUUCCGCCCUUCAGUGCUGCAGCUAACGCAUUAAGCAUUCCGCCUGGGGAGUACGGCCGCAAGGCUGAAACUCAAAGGAAUUGACGGGGGCCCGCACAAGCGGUGGAGCAUGUGGUUUAAUUCGAAGCUACGCGAAGAACCUUACCAGGUCUUGACAUACUAUGCAAAUCUAAGAGAUUAGACGUUCCCUUCGGGGACAUGGAUACAGGUGGUGCAUGGUUGUCGUCAGCUCGUGUCGUGAGAUGUUGGGUUAAGUCCCGCAACGAGCGCAACCCUUAUUAUCAGUUGCCAGCAUUAAGUUGGGCACUCUGGUGAGACUGCCGGUGACAAACCGGAGGAAGGUGGGGAUGACGUCAAAUCAUCAUGCCCCUUAUGACCUGGGCUACACACGUGCUACAAUGGAUGGUACAACGAGUUGCGAACUCGCGAGAGUAAGCUAAUCUCUUAAAGCCAUUCUCAGUUCGGAUUGUAGGCUGCAACUCGCCUACAUGAAGUCGGAAU
rnacentral:rRNA from 2 species